rnacentral:rRNA from 1 species
UGCAGUCGAGGGGUAACAGGGAGCUUGCUCCGCUGACGACCGGCGCACGGGUGCGCACCGCGUAUGGAACCUACCUUGUACAGGGGAAUAGCCCAGGGAAACUUGGAUUAAUGCCCCGUGGUACCAUGACCCGGCAUCGGGAUAUGGUUAAAGCCUUCGGGCGGUACAAGAUGGCCAUGCGUCCCAUUAGUUUGUUGGUAAGGUAACGGCUUACCAAGACUACGAUGGGUAGGGGCCCUGAGAGGGGGAUCCCCCACACUGGUACUGAGACACGGACCAGACUCCUACGGGAGGCAGCAGUGAGGAAUAUUGGACAAUGGAGGAGACUCUGAUCCAGCCAUGCCGCGUGCAGGAAGAAUGCCCUAUGGGUAGUAAACUGCUUUUAUACGGGAAGAAAAAGAGCUACGUGUAGCUUACUGACGGUACCGUAAGAAUAAGGACCGGCUAACUCCGUGCCAGCAGCCGCGGUAAUACGGAGGGUCCGAGCGUUAUCCGGAAUUAUUGGGUUUAAAGGGUCCGUAGGCGGGCCGAUAAGUCAGGGGUGAAAGUCUGCCGCUCAACGGUAGAACUGCCUUUGAUACUGUCGGUCUUGAGUUAUAGUGAAGUUGCCGGAAUAUGUAGUGUAGCGGUGAAAUGCAUAGAUAUUACAUAGAACACCGAUUGCGAAGGCAGGUGACUAACUAUAUACUGACGCUGAUGGACGAAAGCGUGGGGAGCGAACAGGAUUAGAUACCCUGGUAGUCCACGCCGUAAACGAUGGAUACUA